GCUCUCGUGGCGGAACGGCAUACGCACUAGACCGAGGAUCUAGUUGUUGUGGGUUCGACUCCCACCGAGAGUACCA
rnacentral:tRNA from 1 species